UGCCCCCUCCCCCGGGAUAGCCGCCCGAAAGGACGGGUAAUACCGGAUACCCCGGGGUGCCGCAUGGCACCCCGGCUAAAGCCCCGACGGGAGGGGAUGGCUCCGCGGCCCAUCAGGUAGACGGCGGGGUGACGGCCCACCGUGCCGACAACGGGUAGCCGGGUUGAGAGACCGACCGGCCAGAUUGGGACUGAGACACGGCCCAGACUCCUACGGGAGGCAGCAGUGGGGAAUCUUGCGCAAUGGGGGGAACCCUGACGCAGCGACGCCGCGUGCGGGACGGAGGCCUUCGGGUCGUAAACCGCUUUCAGCAGGGAAGAGUCAAGACUGUACCUGCAGAAGAAGCCCCGGCUAACUACGUGCCAGCAGCCGCGGUAAUACGUAGGGGGCGAGCGUUAUCCGGAUUCAUUGGGCGUAAAGCGCGCGUAGGCGGCCCGGCAGGCCGGGGGUCGAAGCGGGGGGCUCAACCCCCCGAAGCCCCCGGAACCUCCGCGGCUUGGGUCCGGUAGGGGAGGGUGGAACACCCGGUGUAGCGGUGGAAUGCGCAGAUAUCGGGUGGAACACCGGUGGCGAAGGCGGCCCUCUGGGCCGAGACCGACGCUGAGGCGCGAAAGCUGGGGGAGCGAACAGGAUUAGAUACCCUGGUAGUCCCAGCCGUAAACGAUAGACGCUAGGUGUGGGGGGACGAUCCCCCCGUGCCGCAG
rnacentral:rRNA from 1 species